CCUGAGCAAGGUGAUUGAUUAUUCUAUCUCCUUAUUUCCCAAAUCUGAAUGAACUUAUGGGAAGAGAAUACUUCCUCUGUCGUGAGGAGCAAAUAACCUGGUCCUUGAAGUGAAAAGAUAGAACAGAAUAAAGAACACAAAUCUGGGCACCCAGAAAAUGGCCUCUGGCACUGACUUAGCUAUUGUGAUACCUGAACAAGGCAGUUGCCUGGUGUGGCUUCAGUUUUCUCACCAGUACACUGAGGUUUUGAAAUAACUUUGUGCAACCUUAAGGAAAAUAGAUACCCUCUUUGAAGCAUCCUUGGCAGGUCUUUGUUUUGUCUUCAUUUGGAUAUUUUGUUUAGUCUUUGCUUUGCCUUUCAAGAUUGAGAAUGCUUGGAUUUCAAGAUAGUUUUAAGCAACUUACUAUUCCUUAGUUUUUUGUAUUGUAUGAAUUGCCUGUCCUCCUACUGUCCUAAUAUUUUUUCUAUGUUUUGAAGUAUAACAUGACAUCUUCAGAUAAUGAACCAGUUGAUUCUUUUCUAGGUUAUGCCACCAGAUCUCUGACCAUCCUGCCAUGAUGUGUGAUUUCUACAGUCAUGCUAGUUUUCCUAAAAUGUUCUAAGUAUUUUUUUUUAAUUUUUGCUCCACUUAUAAAAUGUGGUUCUCAGAAAAGCUUAUAGUUCUUCAGAUAAGUUAUGAUCAUUAUGGGCAUGUUAAGAAAGUUUAGAAACUGUCAUUUCAUUAUAUAGCCCGAGUUAAUUUGUUUUAAUAGCAUCUCUCUGUAACAUCCCUGAUGUUUCCACAUGAAUUGCUUGUGAGGAAGGCCUCAUGUUUUAGAUGAGCAGCUUAUGUUUUCAAAAAGACCCUGAGGAGUGCUUUAUGUUUAUCCUCCUUUUUGUGGAUUAUUUUAUAUAUCUUACUUGUUCUGGCCUGCUGAAUUUUCUGAACCAUCUACCUGUCUGGGUAUUAACAAACUCCUUGGGUUCUUGUCUCAUUCUUUCUGAUCAUGUUUUUGAGUCUGUUCCGAGUGGUUAAUGAAAAUGUUGACCAGGGGCUUAGGGUUGUGACUCAGAGGUAGAGCGCUUUGCUUAGCAUGCAUGAGGUUUUGAGUUUGAUCCUCAGUACCACAUAAAAAUAAAAUAAAGGUAUUGUGUCCACCUACAACUUAAAAAUAAAUGUUAAAAAAAAAAAAAAAGAAAAUGUUGACCAGAGAAAAGUCAAUUAGAGAUACUUAGGAUGGACUGCUGGGGUCUUUGCAUUUGACUGAUAGGGAACCCUAACAGUGGUUCUAGGCUUCUACUGACAAAAUUACAAUUUUUAAAAAUUUUUGUGCU
rnacentral:lncRNA from 1 species